AUUCUGGCUAUUUCAAGUUACCCUCUACAUCGCCAUGUUCUUGGACUUUUAUCCAUAAAGAGCAGGUGUCUUUACAAAUACACCUCACAGACGCAGUAGAACCGUGGCGUUCCUUAUAAAGACCAUUUAGAUAACAACACAGUGUAGAGGAUGUCUUCACCAACUGGGGGAAGUGUAAACAAUUCUGACAUCAGGCUACUAAACACUAUAACUCUUCGGUCAAGAACAAUAUAUAGAAAAUAUGACAGCCACCUUAAUUCUUCAGAAAGUAUGUUACUGAUUGAAAAGUUUGGUUUAGGUCUCCAAAAGAGCACAUUCUCUGUGCUAGACUGAUUAAUAGUGUUUUAUAGGAAAACAGGCCGUUAUGGGCAUAGUUCUAGGAUUGGGCAUUUAAUGUACUGUAACAGAAAGCAGCUGUCUGUGGGUAGACAUGAAGGUGCUAUAACCACUUAGAGUACCUUCCUGAUUCACUAAUAAACCGUCCUGAGGAAUGUUGUAGCUUAUAUUAUGCUCACCGUAAGACUUUAAAAAGUGUGCGAGGAAAGAAAGUCUGAGCAAAUCCUGUGUUUAUCGUUGUAUUUGUGUGUUUCUUUGUAAAAACAGAAUUGCUUUCUCA